rnacentral:rRNA from 1 species
AGCGAACGCUAGCGGCGGGCUUAACACAUGCAAGUCGAGCGCGAACUUCGGUUCGAGCGGCGAACGGGUGAGUAACACGUAGAUUACGUACCUCUUGGCGGGGAACAACCCAGGGAAACCUGGGCUAAUACCGCAUAUGUCCUUCGGGAUGAAAGGCUUCGGCCACCAGGAGAUCGGUCUGCGGCCCAUUAUCUAAUCCUAGUUGGUGUGGUAACGGCACACCAAGGUACGAUGGGUAGCUGGUCUGAGAGGAUGAUCAGCCACACUGGAACUGAGACACGGUCCAG